UACGUAGGGAGCAAGCGUUGUCCGGAAUCAUUGGGCGUAAAGCGCGCGUAGGCGGCCUCAUAAGUCCGUUGUGAAAGUCAAAGGCUCAACCUUUGAAAGCCGAUGGAUACUGGAAGGCUAGAGUCCGGAAGAGGCGAGUGGAAUUCCUGGUGUAGCGGUGGAAUGCGCAGAUAUCAGGAGGAACACCAAUAGCGAAGGCAGCUCGCUGGGACGGUACUGACGCUAAGGCGCGAAAGCGUGGGGAGCGAACAGG
rnacentral:rRNA from 1 species